GUGCCAGCAAGCCGCGGUAAUACGUACGGUGCGAGCGUUGUCCGGAAUUAUUGGGCGUAAAGAGCUUGUACGCGGUUUGUCGCGUCUGCUGUGAAAAUUCAGGGCUUAAACCCUGGACGUGCAGUGGGUACGGGCAGACUAGAGUGUGGUAAGGGAGACUGGAAUUCCUGGUGUAGCGGUGGAAUGCGCAGAUAUCAGGAGGAACACCGAUGGCGAAGGCAGGUCUCUGGGCCAUUACUGACGCUGAGAAGCGAAAGCAUGGGGAGCGAACAGGAUUAGAUACCCUGGUAGUCC
rnacentral:rRNA from 1 species